GGGCCGCUGGCGCAAUUGGCAGCGCAACUGACUCUUAAUCAGCAGGUUGCGGGUUCGAGUCCCGCGCGGCCCACCA
rnacentral:tRNA from 1 species